GACGAACGCUGGCGGCGUGCCUAAUACAUGCAAGUCGAACGCUGAAGAGAGGAGCUUGCUCUUCUUGGAUGAGUUGCGAACGGGUGAGUAACGCGUAGGUAACCUGCCUUGUAGCGGGGGAUAACUAUUGGAAACGAUAGCUAAUACCGCAUAACAAUGGAUGACACAUGUCAUUUAUUUGAAAGGGGCAAUUGCUCCACUACAAGAUGGACCUGCGUUGUAUUAGCUAGUAGGUGAGGUAAUGGCUCACCUAGGCGGCGAUACAUAGCCGACCUGAGAGGGUGGUCGGCCAAACUGGGAAUGGGACACGGCCCAGAACCCUACGGGGGGCAGCAGGAGGGAAUCUUCGGAAAUGGGGGCAACCCUGACCGAGCAACGCCGCGGGAGUGAAGAAGGGCUUCGGAUCGUAAAGCUCUGUUGUAAGUCAAGGAAGGGUGUGAGAGUGGAAAGUUCACACUGUGACGGUAGCUUAACAGAAAGGGACGGCUAACUACGUG
rnacentral:rRNA from 1 species